rnacentral:rRNA from 1 species
ACUCAAAUGAAUUGACGGGGGCCCGCACAAGCAGCGGAGCGUGUGGUUUAAUUCGAUGCAACGCGAAGAACCUUACCAGGGCUUGACAUGGACCUGCAGAGCGGCGAAAGCCGUUGGCCUUCGAGGGUGGUCCACAGGUGCUGCAUGGCUGUCGUCAGCUCGUGCCGUGAGGUGUUGGGUUAAGUCCCGCAACGAGCGCAACCCCCGCUGGCAGUUGAAUUUUCUGCCGGGACUGCCGGGAAAACCCGGAGGAAGGUGGGGAUGACGUCAAGUCAGCACGGCCCUUACGUCCUGGGCUACACACACGCUACAAUGGCACGGACAACGGGCUGCGAACCCGCAAGGGGGAGCCAAUCCCAUCAAACCGUGUCUCAGUACAGAUUGUCGGCUGAAACCCGCCGGCAUGAAGGCGGAGUUGCUAGUAACCGUGGGUCAGCACUACCGCGGUGAAUGCGUUCCCGGGCCUUGUACACACCGCCCGU